GAUGAACGCUGGCGGCGUGCUUAACACAUGCAAGUCGAACGAAGCAUUUAGGACAGAUUCCUCGGGUUUGAGUUCUUUUUUGCCUCGUUGGGGUACGGUGAGUUACGCGUUGGUAACCCUCCUUUUACCUGGGGGUAGUCGCCUGUAACGGCUUGUUAUUCCGGCUUAGCGCCCAAUUGUUCCUUACCUUGUGUGGAAAACCUCGGUGGUUUUAGAUGGAACCGCGUUCGAUUAGCUAGUUGGUGAGAUAACAGCCCCCCAAGGCGACGAUCAGUAGCCGAACUGAGAGGGUGACCGGCCACAUUGGGACUGGGACACGGCCCAGACUCCUACGGGAAGCAGCAGUGGGGAAUAUUGCACAAUGGAGGAAACUCUGAUGCAGCGACGCCGCGUGAGUGAAGAAGUAAUUCGUUAUGUAAAGCUCUAUCAGCAGGGAAGAUAGUGACGGUACCUGACGAAGAAGCGCCGGCUAAAUACGUG
rnacentral:rRNA from 1 species